GACAGAGGGUGCAAACGUUGUUCGGAAUCACUGGGCGUAAAGCGCGUGUAGGCGGCUGCGCAAGUCGGGCGUGAAAUCCCGUGGCUCAACCACGGAAGUGCACUCGAAACUGCAUAGCUAGAGUCCUGGAGAGGAAGGUGGAAUGCUUGGUGUAGAGGUGAAAUUCGUAGAUAUCAAGCGGAACACCGGUGGCGAAGGCGGCCUUCUGGACAGUGACUGACGCUGAGACGCGAAAGCGUGGGGAGCAAACAGG
rnacentral:rRNA from 1 species